GCCUGCCGGGGUCGGCGCCUCCCCAAAAAGAGGCCCCCCCGCAGCGGCUCCCGACGGUCGGGCUCGCCAGCCUCGGCUUCCUACAUGGAAGAUCCGCGGGGGCAAGAAAAAAAAAAAACACAAAAAAACGGAAGGCGUUCGGCUGAGCUGCAGGAGGGAGUAACCGGAUCUCCUCGAAUUCCGUGCACACGAAGACUCGGAGGAGGGGGCCGAGUGGACUUCACCCCGCAUGCGAUGUCUGGCGAAAUAAAGGCUCAGAAUCUAAGAACCAAAUAUGCAAAAAGCCCAAAAUGAAAAACACCACCACCUCCUCGCACCCCGGAGAUCUGGAGCCGUCAGACUUGAGCUGGGGUU